rnacentral:lncRNA from 1 species
UUGUACCACUCUGCUAUUACUGUGGUAUUUUCCAUCCCAUUACAGAAUUGUACUUCUCUGUGCGUAAGACAUAAGUGUUCCGAAGAUGAAGUGGAUGUGAAUGCCAAAGAGAGGAAAUAAUGAAUAGAAGAGACGACAGUUUUGGCUUUUGUGUCCUCCUCCUGAGCAGGUGAAGAUAUUUUUUCACCUGCUCAUGUGGGAGAAAAUCUGCUGAAGCAGCUUAUGGCUUUGAAGGGUAUUCUUUGUCUGUUUUUCCAAUCAGGAUGAAAACUUCACUGAGAGAAAGGGAUAAGAAACUAGAACAGUUCCAUAUCUAAGGCAAAAGGUGGGAUAGGAAUCUAAGGAGAAGAUCCACACAUUAAAAGUAGCAGCUAUUAACAAUCCACUCCAGUUUACACAGCUUGCUACAAAUGCAGCAAGACAUUUUGCCACAUGAUGCUAUUGAACCUUACUGAAAAUGUGCACAGAUCUCAAGUGACUUGAGAGCAAAUGGCCACCAUUCCUACAACAGGAUCUAAAAGAAUCAGGUAAAGAGGAAAUCUAGCAGUGUAGGAUCAAAAGAAAUAACAAAA